AUUUAAAUAAUUUAUAUAAAAUAUUGAUUUGUGGAGUCAAAAAUGUGAAUAAAAUUCAUUUUAAAUU
rnacentral:tRNA from 1 species